UCGCGUCCUCCCGUGACCCCUUAGAGGAUGACUGAUUUCUUUUGGUGUUCAGAGUCAAUAGAAUUUUCUAGCACCAUCUGAAAUCGGUUAUAAUGAUCGGGGAAGAGCAUCAUGCUGCUG
rnacentral:pre_miRNA from 14 species